AAUACUUCAAUCCAUGAGGGCCCUUCAUGAGCUCCAGCUAUGCAUGGUGGCAGUUAUAUAUGUUCAAUUGCCACUACAUAGAGAUGAGAGGGGGCAUGGUGCCAGGGACAGUCCGCAAGAAUCUCUGUAUCAAUGACCUAGCAAUGACUGACCAACUACUGCCAUUGCAGCAAAUCCUGAUGGAGAUGACCAGUCAAGUGACAGACUGGGUACUGGUCAGCAAGCAAACAUGUUAUUUUGCACCUGACUUCACUUAAGUAAAUGAGGAUACAGUGAGAAGACAGUCAUCUGCAAACCAGGAUACUAGAUUUCACCAGACACUGGGUCUGCCAGCACCUUGACCUUGGACUUCUCAGUCUCCAGAACUGCAGAAAUAAAUGUUUGUUCUUUAAGCCCCC